GCAGCUCAGUUGAUAGAGCACGAGACCCUUGAAUAUCAGGGUUGUGGGUUCGAGCCCCACAUUGGGCA